rnacentral:RNase_P_RNA from 1 species
UGGGGUGGCCAGGUGAUCGCCCGGCGAAGGUCGGGAGGAAAGUCCGAACACCGCAGGGUACGGUGGUGGGUAACGCCCACCCGUCGGCUUGGCCUUGGGGCCGGGCAGGCGCGGGAAAGUGCCACAGAAACUAAACCGCCGAUGUCGGCUAGUCCGGCAGGCAAGGGUGAAAAGGUGCGGUAAGAGCGCACCGCGGCGAUGGUGACACCGCCGGCAUGGAAAACCCCACCGGGUGCAAGACCAAAUAGGAGGCCGAAGCGUUGGCCCGACGCGUGCCUGUCAUAGGCGACGAUGUCCCCGUCAAGGAAGUUGCCGGCAGGAUGGCAGUAGCUGAAGUACGAAGUUUUCGUAAGAAAAUAAGGAAACAGCGCUGGGGUAGGCUUCGGGUAGGUUGCUUGAGGGCAACAGCAAUGUUGCUCCCAGAUAAAUGAUCACCGCCGGUAACGGCACAGAAUUCGGCUUAUCGGCCAUCCCAAGAG